rnacentral:rRNA from 1 species
AGGAUGAACGCUGGCGGUCUGCUUAACACAUGCAAGUCGAACGGAGUACCUCGGUACUUAGUGGCGGACGGGUGAGUAACGCGUGAGAAUCUGCCCUUAGGUCGGGGACAACCAUUGGAAACGAUGGCUAAUACCGGAUAAGCCGAGAGGUAAAAGAUUAAUUGCCUAGGGAAGAGCUCGCGUCUGAUUAGCUAGUUGGUGAGGUAAAGGCUCACCAAGGCAUCGAUCAGUAGCUGGUCUGAGAGGGCGACCGGCCACACUGGGACUGAGACACGGCCCAGACUCCUACGGGAGGCAGCAGUGGGGAAUAUUGCACAAUGGGCGGAAGCCUGAUGCAGCGACGCCGCGUGAGGGAUGAAGGCCUUCGGGUUGUAAACCUCUUUCGACAGGGACGAAGCGCAAGUGACGGUACCUGGAGAAGAAGCGCCGGCCAACUACGUGCCAGCAGCCGC